GCAUUACUUCGUCCAGUAUACAAAAACCUCAGCAGUACAACAAUUUCUUCAAAUACUAAAAACCAGGAUGGCAGUAGUCAGCGAGCAUUUCAAUAGCGAAUUGGACAUCUUCUUCAGUGACGUCACCUGGCGAUUCCUUAUUGAUAACGGAACUGACGUCAUCUUCAUCAUCCGGCCGGAUCAUCAACGCAUUGUCAACUGCUGCCGUUAACUUGUAAACCAUCUUCAUCAACGCCUCCAGUACAUCCAAGAUGGACGCCUGCGUCUUGGUUACCGCUCUCUGCACUCUGGGAAACUCUUACGAUCGUCUAUUCCUUCUCCUCCACGUUGGCAAUCUCUGUUGAAGAGCCGAAUUCCGGCGACUAUGCACAUUAGCUCCAUUAGCUGCUCCUCCUUCUCUGACUUGGACAAAGUGACAAAGUAC